rnacentral:rRNA from 1 species
AGUUGUAAUUUGUAGAGGAUGCUUUUGGUGAGGUGCCGCCCGAGUUCCCUGGAACGGGACGCCACAGAGGGUGAGAGCCCCGUCUGGCUGGCCGCCAAGCCUCUGUAAAGCUCCUUCGACGAGUCGAGUAGUUUGGGAAUGCUGCUCAAAAUGGGAGGUAUAUGUCUUCUAAAGCUAAAUAUUGGCCAGAGACCGAUAGCGCACAAGUAGAGUGAUCGAAAGAUGAAAAGCUCCUUGAAAAGAGGGUUAAAUAGUACGUGAAAUUGUUGAAAGGGAAGCGCUUGUGACCAGACUUGGGCGCGGCGGAUCAUCCGGGGUUCUCUCCGGUGCACUUCGCCGCGUCUAGGCCAGCAUCANUUCGUCGCGGGGGAAAAAGGCUUCGGGAACGUGGCUCCUCCAGGAGUGUUAUAGCCCGUUGCA